rnacentral:misc_RNA from 1 species
GGAGACUGAGUGGAGUGGCCUGAAUUAAGCAACAAUCGUCGGAGACGAUUCUCGUCCUCGGCAGAAAUUUGCAAUUUAGGACCGGUGGAAGAAGAACCUUUGCCUUUGGAUGAUUGAGGUUUCUUCUUCGGUGCCAUAGAAGAAAAUGGGCGGGAGACACAAGUAAAUACAAAGUGAAAGAAGUAACAAUGGUGAGAGCAGACGCACAGUAGCAGA